ACUUUUAUGUUUUAAAGUUGUACUGUUUUCCGAAAUCGGAAGUGGUGUCAUUAAACCAGAAGUGCUUAUGACUACACUUAAAACAGAAUGAGUCAUUGCUUGUAGUAUUUUAUACGUGAAGGGCUAUGUUAGAUUGUGACAGAAGGGUUUAUUUGUUUGGCGCCGACAUUUGUUUAUACUGAGGAGGACGGUAUGUACUGAGCAUAAUGCGUAGGAUCCACAGGUGGGACAUUUGUUCCGAGCCGAGCACAAUCGCUCUUUGAGAUAAGUAGUCGUGGUCAUUGUGACCGAAUGUCUGAAAACAUUGGACACUAUGCAUCACUGUCAUUGUUUCCUCAGGAGUUGACAUUGAGUUUAUAGGACUGUGGCAUCUACGACACCAGGUGAGAUGCUGAGAGUGAUCAUUAUCAACUUAAAGAAAUCGCAAUGUAACAAUAAGAGUAAAGCCUAAUCGUGUCCAGGCAUAACUGUUCUCGUUCUACAAGCUCAUCUAAACUAUAUUACCACGCACUUUGGAUUAAUGAAUUUGAACGUCAAACUACUCUCUGCAGUUCCUGUUAUUUUGGUAUAUGUCAUUUUUGCAACUUGGUUCCGUCUAAGCGCAAAUGGGGAUAGCUAAAAGAAUUGUCCUUGCGUAAUGAUUCACGUAUAUUUCCCCCAUACUUUCCCCCAUACUUCAUAUACAUUCCAGAUGCACAGAAAACGCAUCGCAACUUACAGUAUAGUACAGUAUGAUUGAACACACUUAGCUGGAAAAUGAAGUUUUCUAUUAGUGAGCUCCCGUUUUCCGUCGGUUAUUUCGGUUAUUGUGUUCAGUCCAUAGAGAACACUGUCUAAAACGACAUUCUCCCAAAUCUGCCAUUAGGUCCCGGUACAAAUUAAUGGUAUUUUUUAUGAGAUAAUGAUGUAGAGUGGUUUCUGGUAUUUAUUUAGAUUGUUAUAAAUGAAAAAUAAACCGUAUAAAGAAUAAUAAGGGUCUGGAAAUUAUUAAAGGGGACAGGGUGGGGAUGAGAUGUUCAAAUUUAUAAAAAUUGCAUUCGGAAACGAACUGUGACAUUUUUUGCUUGCAACCCCCUCCCCCACUUGCUCAUUCAGCACUUUACCAUGGAAGCAAAGGCGUUUGAGCAACGAGUAAAAACUUUGAAUAGAAACGACCCUAUGGCAGUACGAGCUGUAAAUGACCAGCUGAUGAUGCUGGAGAGAGCUUUCCUUGAUUCAGAAGGACUACCUGACAGACCACUGAAGAAACACAUCAUAUUUGCUGAGAGCAGUACCAAUUCCUACCACGGAAGCAGCUUUCCUUGAUUGGUGGAUCUUCUUUUUAAGCUUAAAACUCAACCAAAUUCUCGCGAGAUCUUGGAGAGAGUCAAGCGCCAUUAUUCAGUCAUACUUUUUACCAUCCAAUCAGCUGCAUCCACGUUACGUGACGUCACCUCUUUUAUACCUAGACAUUUAACAUAACUUUGAAGCACACUAGUCUGUAAGGAAAUGGGUGGCGAGUGAAAUUUACAACAGCUGGAUACAGUGAAACCUCGUUAAUCCGGACAAGGUAGCUCCGAAAACCUGACCAUAGAGUUUGAAAUUAAUUAUCAAUAUUUUCACCAUCCAUGUAUCAAAAUGAAAAACACAUUCCCAUCUGGCCUUGGUAGACACGCCGUCCGGAUAAGCCAGGUUCCCCUGGAAGUGUACAUUGUGGUCUAUUUACUAAAAUUAAAUGUGUUUUUUUAGAAACAAAGAAUUAUGAAAUAAGAAAAUGAUAACGUCUAAAUUUGAAAAUAAAUUAUUUCGGGAGAGAAUAUCAAUCUAUUUGUUCACAUGUUUUGUCCGUCCUGAAAAGUGAGAUAGUCUUAUAAUGUUAAAGAUUUGACUAUUUCGAACAGGAUGCAAUAUAUUCUAAAACCGAUUGCCCUGUUGUCUAAGGCGCCUCAAUUCUCUGUGCAGAGGUGCUUCGUGCCAGGAUACACUGAUCAACGGUUUGAAUCCCAGAUCGGACCUGAUUAUGAUCAUUGGUUUGUCGGUACCAUUCCCGUGCUCAUGGGCUUAGGCAAAGUGGCGAGCGUCUAUGACCCUCGUCACUCUGAAAUGUUCCCCUACAUAAAUUGUAACAGAAAUACUGUGUGCUGAGCUACGUGGAACCCAUCACACUGAUUCAAAACAGAAAUAUAAACUAGACCAUAUUCUUUCCCUGACAACACAAACAGGUAUGGUAAGAAUGGGUUAUAUUCAACAUACCUGUUCUCUAAAAGUGUAUAGCGAUGUGAAACAGAAAACAAAUUAACAAUUUUUACAAUGAUCGCAAACCAACCCAGCCAAAUUAGAUUGAACUUGUCACCUGCAUAAAAAUAUGUAUCUUGUAACAGUGAUAAUAAUGUCGCUUAUAUUGCAUCAAUGUUUUAAAUGAAUAACUCUCGAAUUAUUUCUAAUGUGUUUUAAUAAUUUGAUAUUGAUUCAUAAACACAUGUUUAUAAUGUGGUCGGAAUUGUAGAAUGGACACUGCUUUUAGCAGAUAUUUCUUGUGAUUAAAGGAAGGAUUUUGUCGCUUUUAUUUAUACGUAAACAUGACUUUUAUCUACAUAUUUUCUUUUAUCACACUGGUCCCCUCCCGAUAUUAAGCUAGGCUUUCUGGCAAUGCAUCUGUACAUGACUUGUUCUAUGUACUGUAUAUAAGUGUAGCAUUGUGUGCUACUGUCGCUCACUGUGUAGAGGAGGCUGUAUAAAGGCUGUAAAGUAGUUAAGGUUGUGUAUUUGUGUGUGACUGUUAUUGUAGAUUUUCACAGUUGAAUAUAUGAUAAUUAUUUAGUCAAAACAGAAAUAAACUGCAUUUAUUGUA
rnacentral:lncRNA from 1 species